rnacentral:rRNA from 1 species
UACGGGGGGAGCAAGCGUUGUUCGGAUUUACUGGGCGUAAAGGGCGCGUAGGCGGCGUGACAAGUCACUUGUGAAAUCUCCGGGCUUAACUCGGAGCGGUCAAGUGAUACUGUCGUGCUAGAGUGCGGAAGGGGCUACUGGAAUCCUCGGUGUAGCGGUGAAAUGCGUAGAUAUCGAGAGGAACACCUGCGGCGAAGGCGGGUAGCUGGGCCGACACUGACGCUGAUGCGCGAAAGCCAGGGGAGCGAACGGG